rnacentral:rRNA from 1 species
UGGCGGCACUAGCGCGGUGGUCCCACCUGACCCCAUGCCGAACUCAGAAGUGAAACGCCGUAGCGCCGAUGUAGUGUGGGGUCUCCCCAUGUGAGAGUAGGGAACUGCCAGGCA